rnacentral:miRNA from 1 species
ACUCUGGCCCUCCAGCUGUUUGGGACUACAGUUCCCAUCAUCCCUAACUAACAGGACCAGUGGUCAGGGGUGAUGGGAAUUGUAGUCCCAAACAUCUGGAGGGCUGGAGU